GAUGAACGCUGGCGGCGUGCCUAACACAUGCAAGUCGAGCGGAAAGACGAGGAGUUUGUUCGCUUGACGUUAGCGGAGGGCGGGUGUGUCACGUGUGGAUCCCCUACUUAUAUGUCUGGGAUAAUCACGGGACAGAGGAUACAAUACUGGAGCAUAUAUUGAACCGUUGGGUGCAAUGGAGAAUGUCGGCUUUGGUGUCUGUAAUAGCUGGUUCCAGGCUGGAUUAGCUAGUUGGUAAGGUAACGGCCUAUCAAGGCGACGAUGCGUAGCCGAGCUGAGAGGAUGAUCGGCCACACUGGAACUGAGACACGGACCAGACUCCUACGGGAGGCAGCAGUAGGGAAUCUUACGCAAUAGGCGAGAGCCUGACACAGCGACGCCGCGUGUGUGAUGAAGGUCUUCGGAUCGUAAAGCCCUGUUAUUGGGUAAGAACAGCUGUAGAAUGAAACGAAGCCGUCGUGACGGUACCUAAUCAAGAAGCACCGGCUAACUACGUG
rnacentral:rRNA from 1 species